AGCUUUGCGCAGUGGCAGUAUCGUAGCCAAAGAGGUUUAUCUGAGGAGAGACUAUUGCUAAUUGAAAAUUUCAAAACGUUUUUCUCUCAGUAAAAAAAAAAGAAAAAUAGAAAAUAGUUUGUUUCUUGAAAGUUUAUGUUUGUGUAAAUGUUUGAAUCGUUAAUAAUAAC
rnacentral:snRNA from 1 species